rnacentral:rRNA from 1 species
CCUACGGGUGGCAGCAGUGAGGAAUAUUGGUCAAUGGACGAGAGUCUGAACCAGCCAAGUAGCGUGAAGGAUGACUGCCCUAUGGGUUGUAAACUUCUUUUAUAUGGGAAUAAAACGUUCCACGUGUGGGAUUUUGUAUGUACCAUAUGAAUAAGGAUCGGCUAACUCCGUGCCAGCAGCCGCGGUAAUACGGAGGAUCCGAGCGUUAUCCGGAUUUAUUGGGUUUAAAGGGAGCGUAGGUGGAUUGUUAAGUCAGUUGUGAAAGUUUGCGGCUCAACCGUAAAAUUGCAGUUGAAACUGGCAGUCUUGAGUACAGUAGAGGUGGGCGGAAUUCGUGGUGUAGCGGUGAAAUGCUUAGAUAUCACGAAGAACUCCGAUUGCGAAGGCAGUUCACUGGACUGCAACUGACACUGAGGCUCGAAAGUGUGGGUAUCAAACAGGAUUAGACACCCCAGUAGUC